rnacentral:rRNA from 1 species
AUGCCCAAGCCCCACCAAGCCUCGCCAGCGCCGCCGACGCCGCUCCCGCUCCCGCUCUCCAUCCUCCCGCCGCGGAGCUGCCCGCUCGCCACCGCGCUGCUGGCGCUGCUCUCGCUGCUCCUCGCCACCGCGCUGUGGCUCGUGCUCGUGCUGUCCCCGGCCCAGGCCCCCGUGGCGUCCUCCUCCUCCGCGCUGUCCUACGCGGCGGCGGCGGAUGAGGCGCUCUCCUCUGGCGACGCGGCCUCCCCACUCUCGCUCGCCCACAUCGUCUUCGGGAUCGCGGGCUCCGCGCACCUCUGGCCGCGCCGCCGCGAGUACGUCCGCCUCUGGUGGGAUCCCGCCUCUAUGCGCGGCAACGUCUGGCUCGACGCCAGCGCGCCCGGAGCGCCGGGCCCCAGCGCUGCCGGGGAGGACUCGCUCCCGCCGAUCCGGGUGUCCGAGGACACCUCGCGCUUCCGGUACACCAACCCGACGGGCCACCCUUCUGGGCUCCGGAUCGCGCGCAUCGCUGCCGAGGCCGUGCGGCUCGUGGGGGGUGGGGGCGCGCGGUGGGUGGUGCUCGUGGACGACGACACCGUGCUGUCCCCGGACAACCUGGUGGCGGUGCUCGGGAAGUACGACUGGAGAGAGAUGGUGUACGUCGGGGCCCCGUCGGAGAGCCACUCGGCCAACACCUAUUUCAGCCACGGUAUGGCGUUCGGAGGCGGAGGCGUCGCGCUCAGCUUCCCCCUCGCCGCUGCGCUCGCGCGGACACUAGACGUGUGCAUCGAGAGGUACCCCAGGCUGUAUGGAAGCGACGACCGCCUCCAUGCUUGCAUCACGGAGCUUGGCGUGCCCCUUUCCCGCGAACAUGGAUUCCAUCAGUGGGAUAUCAGAGGCAAUGCCCAUGGUAUAUUGGCUGCUCAUCCAAUUGCUCCUUUCAUCAGUAUCCACCAUGUGGAGUUUGUGGAUCCUAUAUAUCCUGGAUUGAACUCUCUUGAGAGCUUGGAGCUUUUUACGAAGGCUAUGAAAAUAGAACCCAUGAGCUUCUUGCAGCGCUCAGUUUGUUAUGAUAAGAGGCAGAAGCUUACACUAGCCAUCUCUUUGGGUUAUGUUGUUCAAGUGUACCCCAGUGUUCUUCUUCCUCCUGAAUUGGAGCGAUCCGAGCGGACUUACACCGCUUUUAAUAGGAUGAGCCAGAGAACUGAAUUUGAUUUUGACACCAAGGAAAUUCAGAAGUCUAUGUGCAAGAGGCCAGUCUUAUUUUUCUUGAAGGAUGUUUGGAAGGAUGGGAACAUAACCAGAGGCUCUUACAUAAGGUCAAGUGAACGGGAUGACCUCAAAAGGAAGGUGUUUUGCUUCAGGUCACCUCCUUUAUCUGGCAUAGAUGAGAUUCAAGUUUCUGCGUCCCCAUUAAGCAAAAGAUGGCAUCUGGCACCAAGAAGGUUAUGCAGUGCUGUGAAAGAAUCUAUUAAUGGUACUCUGUUUAUGUUUGUUCGGCAAUGUGGGCGCAGAGCAUUCGGCUCCGCUUCUGAUUCUCUUGAUUGA